CGUAGCAAGCCUAAGCCGCUCAGCGGUGGAGGCGCAGCGAAAGCGAGUCUGAAUAGGGCGACUAAGUUGCUGGCAUAAGACCCGAAGGGGAGGUGAUCUUACCAUGACCAGGUUGAAGCGUUAGUAAAAUAACGUGGAGGACCGAACCGGUGUAGCUUGAGAACUGCUCGGAUGAGUUGUGGUAAGGAGUGAAAGGCUAAUCAAACCCCCUGAUAGCUGGUUCUUUCCGAAAUAUAUUGAGGUAUAGCGUCGAGCGCUGACCUGUGGAGGUAGAGCACUGAAUAAGCUAGGGCCCCUACCGGGGUACUGAACUUUAUCAAACUCCGAAUGCCAUAGGGUGUAGCUCGGCAGUCAGACUUAGGGUGCUAACGUCCUAAGUCGAGAGGGCAACAACCCAGACCAUCAGUUAAGGUCCCAAAAUGUAGCUCAGUGGUAAAGGAUGUGAUUUUACUUAGACAAUGGGGAUGUUGGCUUAGAGGCAGCCACCAUUUAAACAGUGCGUAAUAGCUGACCCAUCGAGUGAAAUUGCGCCGAAAAUGAUCGGGACUUAAGCUACAUACCGAAGCUAUGGAUUUCUGAUCUUCGGAUCAGGAGUAGUAGGAAAGCGUUCCAAGUGCAGCGAAGGAGAAGGGGCAACCGACUCUGGAGCGCUUGGAAGUGAGAAUGCAGACAUGAGUAACGAUAAAGAUGGUUAAAGUCCAUCUCGCCGUAAGGAUAAGGUUUCCUGGGGAAGGCUCGUCCGCCCAGGGUUAGUCGGGAGCUAAGAUGAGGCCGUAAGGAGUAAUCGAUGCACAGAAGGUUAAUAUUCCUUCACCGGCUUGUAACUAUCCCCAGAAUGCGGAUCGACGGACCCUACAGACCUGUUUUGACAAGGCACUGCAAAGCUACGGCUGAGUGGGUGUAGGGAAACAAGGUUACAAGAAAAGCUCUAGGAUUACUAUGCAGGUCGCCCGUACCGCAAACCGACACAGGUAUCCGGGAUGAGUAUUCU
rnacentral:rRNA from 1 species